rnacentral:rRNA from 1 species
CCUACGGGGGGCAGCAGUGGGGAAUAUUGGACAAUGGGGGGAACCCUGAUCCAGCCAUGCCGCGUGUGUGAAGAAGGCCCUCGGGUUGUAAAGCACUUUCAGUGAGGAAGAACGCCUAGUGGUUAAUACCCAUCAGGAAAGACAUCACUCACAGAAGAAGCACCGGCUAACUCCGUGCCAGCAGCCGCGGUAAUACGGAGGGUGCGAGCGUUAAUCGGAAUUACUGGGCGUAAAGCGCGCGUAGGUGGCUUGAUAAGCCGGUUGUGAAAGCCCCGGGCUCAACCUGGGAACGGCAUCCGGAACUGUCAAGCUAGAGUGCAGGAGAGGAAGGUAGAAUUCCCGGUGUAGCGGUGAAAUGCGUAGAGAUCGGGAGGAAUACCAGUGGCGAAGGCGGCCUUCUGGACUGACACUGACACUGAGGUGCGAAAGCGUGGGUAGCAAACAGGAUUAGAUACCCUAGUAGUC